rnacentral:rRNA from 1 species
UACGGGGGGGGCAAGCGUUGUUCGGAAUUACUGGGCGUAAAGGGCUCGUAGGCGGCCAACUAAGUCAGACGUGAAAUCCCUCGGCUUAACCGGGGAACUGCAUCUGAUACUGGAUGGCUUGAGUUCGGGAGAGGGAUGCGGAAUUCCAGGUGUAGCGGUGAAAUGCGUAGAUAUCUGGAGGAACCCCGGUGGCGAAGGCGGCAUCCUGGACCGACACUGACGCUGAGGAGCGAAAGCCAGGGGAGCAAACAGG